rnacentral:lncRNA from 1 species
UUUUAAAAUAGCAGGAUCAAAAUGCAAUUCAGGUGUUUAUAACCAAGUGUUGUGAUUGAACAUGCAAUCAUGCAUGCAUGAGAGUAGCAGAAAUUGUAAGAAUAUGUAUUUGGUAGACUAAAAAGAUCAUGCAGUAUAGUGAUAAGACAUUAAUGAAUUUUCAUGAGUAACCAAUCUUUCAUGACAUAUCCAACUUGCCGAUUUAUCGCAAAUGUAGAUAAAGUAGAUCCUAAAUUUCUCUCACACAUGAACUUGAUUUCCUAUGUUGUGCCCAGUAAGGUAUUGAUAAUGUAUACGGGCCAAAUUAGUGUUUGUUUUAUUAAAGAGUGCCCUGAAAUAGCUAGAAAGGAAGUUUUAUAUAAUCUACAUUUUAAUGAUUGAAUACAGUUUAAUGUGACGCUUUAUU